CCUACGGGGUGCAGCAGUGAGGAAUAUUGGUCAAUGGCCGAAAGUCUGAACCAGCCAAGUCGCGUGAAGGAAGAAUGUCCUACGGAUUGUAAACCUCUUUUGUCGGGGAGCAAAACGGCUCUGCGGAGUCGUAUUGCGAGUACCCUAAGAACAAGCAUCGGCUAACUCCGUGCCAGCAGCCGCGGUAAUACGGAGGAUGCGAGCGUUAUCCGGAUUUAUUGGGUUUAAAGGGUGCGCAGGCGGCGUGUCAAGCAAGCGGGAAAAUAGCGGGGCUCAACCCGGGCGAGCCGUUCGAACUGGCGAGCUUGAGUCCAGGGGAGGUAGGCGGAAUUCGUGGUGUAGCGGUGAAAUGCAUAGAUAUCACGAAGAACCCCGAUUGCGAAGGCAGCUUACUAGGCUGCGACUGACGCUGAGGCACGAAAGUGUGGGUAUCGAACAGGAUUAGAUACCCCAGUAGUC
rnacentral:rRNA from 1 species